rnacentral:lncRNA from 1 species
CCACCGCCCUGCCCGCCCCGCAGCCCUACCCGCCCCUGUGUGCGGCGAGCGAGCGUCCGGCAGCAAGGCGCGAGAGAGGAGACAGAGAGAGAGGCACACGCACAGGUCUGUAUGCGGCACAGCUCACAGCCCCAGGCAGGCUGUGGUCUCCGCGCGAUCCGAGAAAGCGAGGCUGGCGAAGCUCCGGCUGCCCCGUUCCCUCCCCCGCCCCGCGGCGCUCUGGCGGCCGCUCCUCUCCUCGCAACAUGCCCGCCCCGAGGCCACGGCUCGGUCCCACGCAUGCGCGCCGGGAGGGGAGCAGAGCUGAGUGGGCUGUGACUCCGCGGAACCCCGCCCUGGUCCCGCGGGCGGGAACAGCCGCCCUUCGCGCAGCCAAUCAGAACACAGAGAUGGCUUUGCUUGACGUGGAAGCCACCAAGUGAGCUUGAAGGUAGAUAGAGGGCGGGGAAGCGGGGGCCGGCGAUGUUGAGAGUGAUAGGAAAAGUGGCCAGUGGGAGGGCUGGAAGGAGGGAGGAGGAGCUUCCGGUCCCGCCCCCUCACGCGUGCCCGCCCGAGGGGGUGGCUUGAAGCCUUCGGAGGCUGGAAUGGCAGUGAUGUGGUCUGAGGGGCUACUUCGGUUUUGUGGGAGCUUUGUUACAUGAAACAACAAUGCUGACAGAAGAUGAAGCAAGGAACAGUAGCUUCAUAUUGAGUUCAGGAAGAGUGAGUUGUUUUGUUUUUUUCCUGUUCAUCCUUCUGGUAUGUCAAAAAGGCCUGCUUCACAAAUAUGUGGGACUAGACAGAGAGUAAAUUCUGUUGGCGUCCUGAUCUCUCUGUGCGAUGAGGCUACACACUGUCUCUGGAGGACAGCUACCCUUGGACAAUCACUAUCCUGGGACUUCUUAUCAGCAAAAAUCCUAUAAGUAAUGUGUUCAUCCUCGUCACAACACAUCUAUCCCAAGGGGACUGCAGCUGCUGCUACUGAAGACCUAGGGCUCAGGUGGUGCCAGCAGAAUAACAAAAGAAUUGGCUUGAUGCUGCACUGCCAAAAACCUCUGUGGAUAACAUGUGAAGCUGGGAAGAAGGCAGCUGGAGAAAAGAAGAACAGUCAUUUUGGGCCAAUGAGAAACAUUUCAUUCAGCUGCAUCCUACUUAGUUUUGUUGCAUAGACAAAGCUUUUGUUUAAGCUUUUCCUUUCACUUUAUGUCAACUUUAAAUCAAAUUAAUGCUAAGAGGAAUAAAAUUCUAACUGAAAAAGUGAAAAGAUAAGGAGCCUUUUGGAAUUAAUGAAAGAAAGUGUUUCCAGAACAAGGACUUUAUGUUGCCAACAUCUGAGUGAAAUACUUUGAGGCUUUUGAAGUCCUUCAGUACACACAAGCACCCACAUUUCUUAUUGGCCAAGUACCAAAUUCAGCGAUGUCUUAAGAAUAUCCCAUCCUUCUGUGUGUGUUUAUUCUUUGUUACAUACAAGUGUCAAAACAACUAGGGGAAUUAUCACAGGCUAGUGGCAAGACAGAGAGUAAACUUGGUCAUAGGACUGUAAUGUAAUUAACGGCUGUGGACAAAUAUCUGGGAACAUAAGUUAAAUUAUCAUGUAGGGGCUACCAGAGAAAAGCAGAAAGCUUAACAUCAUCAGUUAAAUUGAAUAGCUCAAAUCACUUCACUGACAAACCUGGGAGAGCUAGCAGACACAAAGGGGAGGUAAGGCAAGAAAUAACAUCCAAAAGCCAGACCAAAGGUUCAGUACAGUCUCUGACCUAAUAUAAUGUGGAUUCUUUAUCUAUUAGUUUAAAAUCCUCCUGUUUUUUUUCUGGUCUCAUUCAUUUUCUUUCAUUUCUGGCUCUGGUAAUACCUGUCAAAGGGAACAUAACUCAAGUGACCUAAUUUUGGUGGUUAUAAGGACCGUAAUAGAAAGUAUUACUUUUAUUUCACACCAGUAGGUCAAAUUAAUUCUAUCAGCCAGAACUCAUGUUGGUGACCAGGCCCUGUGAAGAACCUCCUCGUGCUCCUUGGCUCUGGAUGUGCAAUUACAAUUGAAGAAGAAUUGCUUGGAGCCCCGGAACUGCAGAGGGCAUGGACAUGCUUCCAGCAUGCAGGGGUUUCCUAUCAUGUGCUGCAGAUCGGCAUUUUUUGGACAGAGUUUCUUUCUUAUCCACGUGCUUUGCAUUUCUAGAGAUUUCCAGACUUACAGCAUUCUCCUCUCCAGAAUAAACUUUUUCCAUUAAAAAAACUCCCACAAUUGAUAGAGCUGUCAUUAGG